rnacentral:rRNA from 1 species
CAGUUAGAAAUGACUGCUAAUACCUUAUACGCCCUCCGGGGGAAAGAUUUAUCGGUAUUAGAUGAGCCCGCGUUUGAUUAGCUAGUUGGUGAGGUAAUGGCUCACCAAGGCGACGAUCAAUAGCUGGUCUGAGAGGAUGAUCAGCCACACUGGGACUGAGACACGGCCCAGACUCCUACGGGAGACAGCAGUGGGGAAUAUUGGACAAUGGGCGAAAGCCUGAUCCAGCCAUGCCGCGUGUGUGAUGAAGGCCUUAGGGUUGUAAAGCACUUUCAACGGUGAAGAUAAUGACGGUAACCGUAGAAGAAGCUCCGGCUAACUUC